rnacentral:lncRNA from 1 species
GAACUUUUAUAUGUAGUUUAAAUGUUAACUUUUUUAUAGGAGUAUUGAUAGUUUGUUAAACUAUUAUAUGUGAAAUUUAUUUUUUAAAAAAUAUUUUAUUGAAUUAGAUGGAUCAUCAAGAACGAGAAAUUGUUAUUAAUAGAUGGUUUGAUUUGCGCCGAAGAGCUGUAGCUCAACUUAUGUGUGCAAUUGUUUAUUGUUAUGUUCGGAUGUCUCGUAAGAGAAAAUUAAGUUAUAGUAUGAGCUCUGAGAGAGAAAG